UACGAAGGGGACUAGCGUUGUUCGGAAUCACUGGGCGUAAAGCGCACGUAGGCGGAUUUGUAAGUCAGGGGUGAAAUCCCGGGGCUCAACCUCGGAACUGCCUUUGAUACUGCGAAUCUCGAGUCCGAUAGAGGUGGGUGGAACAGCUAGUGUAGAGGUGAAAUUCGUAGAUAUUAGCUAGAACACCAGUGGCGAAGGCGGCCAACUGGUCCGGUACUGACGCUGAGGUGCGAAAGCGUGGGGAGCAAACAGG
rnacentral:rRNA from 1 species